UACGUAGGGUGCAAGCGUUGUCCGGAAUUAUUGGGCGUAAAGAGCUUGUAGGCGGUUUGGUCGCGUCUGCUGUGAAAUUUCGGGGCUCAACCCCGGAACUUGCAGUGGGUACGGGCAGACUAGAGUGUGGUAGGGGGAGACUGGAAUUCCUGGUGUAGCGGUGAAAUGCGCAGAUAUCAGGAGGAACACCGAUGGCGAAGGCAGGUCUCCUGGGCCACUACUGACGCUGAGAAGCGAAAGCAUGGGGAGCGAACAGGAUAGAAC
rnacentral:rRNA from 1 species